rnacentral:lncRNA from 1 species
UGGAAUGAAGUGAUUACACCCAUGUUCUAGUUUACGUACAAUCUUUUGCCAUGUUGGCUCAUGACUAUGCUUAUAAAUUUUUGCCCCCUCUCAACUUUUUUCCUGGGUCCGCCCCUGUAACCAGAUACCAUAUCUCAUUGGUGAAAAGACCACACUUCAUUAGGACAUGCUAGACGCCAAAGUUCCCGUGAUUAAAUUAUGGGUACGACGAACCAGGAAUGACGAGUACUUUAGCUGCCCGGAAUGUUUCCUGAUCCCCAUGCCUCCAUGUCCUUUCAAUUGCGCUUUCUGAAAUUUACAUAAAUCGGUCAAACUUGUAGAUACCGAUUGUUGGCAUAGGCCCAACCUUAUAAGUAGGCUCCACGAGUAUUCUUCAUCGAGACGAUCCUGUACUCAGCAACCGCUAGAGACACGCGUAUGUACACAAGAAACUAGCUGGCAGGCAGGUGGAUUAAUUCCUUAGCCUAACUAGCUAAUGCCCCAUGUGUUGUUGUGGUAAGUUGAGCACCGCAUACAUCCAAUCAAAAGAAAAUAUAAGCUUGAAAAUUAAUUUUCAAAAGUGUGUGAAAAUAGAUAAACUUUUGAAUUAUAGUUAAAAAUAUCAUUUUGAACAAAAAUAUGAAACACGACUAACAUGCAUAUAUGAUAUGACAGCAUUACAACCAUAGACUAAUACAAAAAUAGUAGUAAUUUAAGUUAAAUGCAUGGCUUAUUUAUGUGGGAGACUCAAGAUGCAUGGCUUAAUGAAAGAGAAGACUUCAAUGCAUGGCUUAGCGGGGGUGUUGAGGUGGACACUUUACAUGUUAAAAGAAUUGGGACCAACUUCCUAAGAAUAAGUUUAAAAUAUCAUUUCGAUCAAAAUUGUGAAUGAUGACUAACAUGCAUAUAUGAUGUGACAGCGUUACAUGCGUAGACUAAUACUACAAAAGUAGUUGUAAUUUAAGUUAAAUUCUUGGCUUGUUUAUGUGACAGACUUAAGGUGCAUGGCUUAAUGAAAGAUAAGACUUGAAUGCAAGGCUUAGUAGGGAUGUUGAGGUGAAUAUUUUACAUGUUAAAAGAAUUGUGAUCAACUUUUUUUAAUAAUAAUAGAAGAUUAGCUAAUGCACGUAUCGAGGAACAAGCUGGCAUCAAUAUGAGCAAGCAACAUACCGAAACACAAGACGAAAUAUGAUGGCACCUGUUGAUAUCUUUCUAUUGAUCUGGCUAAGUUUACAGGGUUGGUUACAAGCAUAUAUUGCACUAAGAGUCCUAAUCUAUAUGCAAUACAUAUACGGUCCCUGUACAAGCCAGACACGGAUACAACAUCGAGGUUAAUUAAUUCCAAAAGCUUGUUUACUA